rnacentral:rRNA from 1 species
AGAUUGAACGCUGGCGGUAUGCUUAACACAUGCAAGUCGAACGAGAAAGGGGUAGCAAUACCCUGAGUAAAGUGGCGCACGGGUGAGUAACACGUGACUAACCUACCCUUGAGUGGGGGAUAACUGAGGGAAACCUUAGCUAAUACCGCAUAAUACCCACGGGUCAAAGGAGCAAUUCGCUCGAGGAGGGGGUCGCGGCCGAUUAGUUAGUUGGCGGGGUAAUGGCCCACCAAGACGAUGAUCGGUAU